rnacentral:rRNA from 1 species
AACGAACGCUGGCGGCAUGCCUAACACAUGCAAGUCGAACGAGAUCUUCGGGUCUAGUGGCGCACGGGUGCGUAACGCGUGGGAAUCUGCCCUUUGGUUCGGAAUGACAGUUGGAAACGACUGCUAAUACCGGAUGAUGACGAAAGUCCAAAGAUUUAUCGCCAGAGGAUGAGCCCGCGUAGGAUUAGCUAGUUUGGGUGGUAAAGGCGCACCAAGGCGACGAUCCUUAGCUGGUCUGAGAGGAUGAUCAGCCACACUGGGACUGAGACACGGCCCAGACUCCUACGGGAGGCAGCAGUGGGGGAUAUUGGACAAUGGGCGAAAGCCUGAUCCAGCAAUGCCGCGUGAGUGAUGAAGGCCUUAGGGUUGUAAAGCUCUUUUACCCGGGAUGAUAAUGACAGUACCGGGAGAAUAAGCUCCGGCUAACUCCGUGCCAGCCGCCGCUGUAAAAC